AACUUAACGACACACACGUAUCGACACAUCGGUCUGGGUGCCUGCAAAGCGGGUUGACCGGUGGGAUAUGUGGAGGUUUAAC
rnacentral:sRNA from 1 species